rnacentral:lncRNA from 1 species
AUCUCCUCUGAAGAUGUCCAAGAAGAAGCUGAUUAUUUACUCAGAGGGAGAUGGCAAAGGAAGUAUCAGCGAUGAAAAGAGCAAGCCAUUAUGGGUGGAUGCCUUGCAGAAGAGAUGAGAUUUCCUACCCUCGUGGAUAAUUUUGAGUUCCUUCAAAUAUUUCAGACCAAAGGACCUCUUUUCCUUCAAUGCUUUUUUCUUGAUAAAACAACAACAACAACAACAACAACAACAACAACAACUCUGCACUAAACUGUCUCUAUGAUGAUCAUGGAUUUAACCACUAGUUGCUAUUACUUGGGAGUGAUUUUUCCACAUGGCAUAGCAAAUUCUUGAACUAAUUUCCAUGGCUGCCACAGGACCAGUCAUAAUGCUUGGUUCUAGGAGAAAAAUCAGAAACAAAGGCACAACCUCAAAGCAGCAGAAAUGUUCCGACUGCCUCUUCCUCAGCCACAGCGGUUGGUCUCAGCAAUUUUGACUCUUGGAGAAUUCCAAAAAAGAAGAGGGAUAAGGAAACACCUCUCACGGCAUUCCUCAGGGAUCUGGACUUCUCUGAAAAACGGCUUGAUGGCCCCAACACCUACAUGCCAAACAGAAAACCAACAACAAUAUAUCCAAUCAGACAAUGGUUUGUGA